rnacentral:misc_RNA from 1 species
GAUGAAGAACGUAGCAAAAUGCGAUAAGUAAUGUGAAUUGCAGAAUUCAGUGAAUCAUCGAAUCUUUGAACGCACAUUGCGCCCGCUGGUAUUCCGGCGGGCAUGCCUGUUCGAGCGUCAUUUCAACCCUCAAGCCCCCGGGUUUGGUGUUGGGGAUCGGCUCUGCCCUUCUGGGCGGUGCCGCCCCCGAAAUACAUUGGCGGUCUCGCUGCAGCCUCCAUUGCGUAGUAGCUAACACCUCGCAACUGGAACGCGGCGCGGCCAUGCCGUAAAACCCCAACUUCUGAAUGUUGACCUCGGAUCAGGUAGGAAUACCAGCUGAACUUAAGCAUAUCAAUAAGCGGAGGA